GUUACAGAUGAGGAGUUCAAAGCCUAGAGAUUUAGUAACUUGCUGAUAGUCAUACAGCUAGUGAGAGGUGGGGAUAUUUUCAAACCCAGAACUGUCCGCCCCCAAAGCCUGGAUUCCCUGCCAUGCUGGCAUGUUGCUUCUCUGAUUGGCAAACAGACCAUUGUGCAGUGUGGUAAGUUCUGUGCUGGGAGAAGUGUAGUGUGUUAUAGGAGAACAUAGAAAAGCC
rnacentral:lncRNA from 10 species